AUGACCGACGAAGAUAGGAGAAAAUUCCAGGAAGCCAAUACUAUGUUUGUGGGAUGCAUUUUGAGUGUUCUUGCUGACCGUCUGUGUGAUGUGUACAUGCACACAAAUGACGGAAAAAUUCUGUGGGAUGCACUGAAUGCAAAAUUCGGUGCAACAGAUGCAGGCAGUGAACUGUACAUCAUGGAGAGUUUUCAUGACUACAAGAUGGUGAAUAACCGUUCUGUGGUUGAACAAGCUCAUGAGAUACAGUGCAUUGUGAAGGAACUUGAACUCCUUAAAUGUGUUCUACCCGACAAAUUCGUGGCUGGGUGCAUGAUUGCAAAGUUGCCUCCUUCAUGGAGGAAUUUCGCCACAACUCUGAAGCAUAAGAGACAGGAGAUAUCAGUUGAAAAUCUGAUUGCAUCUCUUGAUGUUGAAGAAAAAGCUCGGGCUAAAGAUACCACUGAAAAAGGAGGUGAGUAUUUCAAUCAUCUUCGUGGUGGAUUGAUUCGGGUCGCAAGGGAUUCUUCCGUCCUAAUGGGGAAUGGGUCACAUGCUUCUGUUCGUGGCAUUGGCACGAUGGCUGAAGUUGAAAAUCAACUAGAGAGAAAGAUCAAGCGUCUUAGGUCCGAUCAUGGUGGAGAGUAUUUUCCAAAAGUUUUUGAUGAAUUUUGUGAGGAACAUGGUAUUAUUCAUGAGAGGACGCCUCCCUAUUCACCUCAAUCAAAUGGAGUGGCCGAGAGGAAAAACCGCACAUUGACUGACUUGGUGAAUACCAUGUUAGACACUUCUGGUUUGUCUAAGGCAUGGUGGGGGGAGGCUCUAUUGACUUCAUGUCAUGUCCUGAAUAGAGUUCCCAACAAUAAUAAAGAGAAAACCCCUUAUGAGGAGUGGGUUGGGAGAAAACCAUCACUUUCUUAUUUGCGCACUUGGGGAUGUUUGGCAAAGGUCAAUAUUCCUAUUCCUAAGAAACGCAAACUUGGACCAAAGACAGUGGAUUGUGUCUUUCUAGGGUAUGCUCAACGGAGCAUUGCUUAUAGGUUUUUAGUGGUAAAAUCUGAAGUACCUGAUAUGCAUGUUGAUACUAUAAUGGAAUCUCAUGAUGCAACAUUUUUUGAGAACAUAUUUCCUAUGAAAGAUAUGCAUAGCAUUGCUAGAUUUUCUUCUGAGAUAAUUCCUGAAUCUAGUACAACUGAUGAAUAUUUCGAACAAUCACAUGAGGAAGUCCUUGAGAAGGAUAACAAUGAAGUUCCUAGAAGGAACAAGAGACAAAGGAUUGCAAAAUCCUUUGGUGAUGAUUUCAUUGUAUACCUUGUGGACGACACACCCAAGACGAUUGCAGAAGCAUAUGCAUCUCCGGAUGUAGAUGAUUGGAAAGAAGCUGUUCAUAAUGAGAUGGACUCAAUUCUUUCUAAUGGAACUUGGGAACUAACUGAUAGACCAUAUGGUUGUAAACCUGUGGGUUGUAAGUGGGUGUUCAAAAAGAAGCUAAAGCCUGAUGGUACUAUUGAUAAGUACAAGGCGCGGCUAGUGGCCAAGGGCUACACUCAGAAAGAAGGCGAAGAUUACUUUGACACCUAUUCACCCGUUGCUAGAAUGACCACCAUUCGAGUGUUACUUUCCUUGGCUGCCUCUUAUGGUCUUAUCAUUCAUCAAAUGGAUGUAAAGACAGCUUUUCUCAAUGGAGAGUUGGAAGAGGAGAUCUAUAUGGAUCAGCCUGACGGGUUUGUGGUAAAGGGUGAAGAGAGAAAGGUGUGCAAGUUGUUAAAAUCUUUGUAUGGUCUGAAACAGGCACCUAAGCAAUGGCAUGAGAAGUUUGAAAGAACUUUGACUUCUGCAGGAUUUGUCAUUAACAAGGCUGAUAGGUGUGUUUACUAUCGCCAUGGUGGGGGCAAUAGUGUCAUAUUAUGUUUGUAUGUGGACGACAUACUGAUCUUUGGUACAAACAUUAAUGCAAUUAAUGAGGUCAAGUCUUUUCUAUCAAAAAGUUUUGACAUGAAAGAUCUGGGAGAAGCCGAUGUAAUUCUAAACAUCAAACUUAUUAAGGAUGAGAGUGGGAUUACAUUAACGCAAUCUCACUAUGUUGAGAAGGUCUUGAACCGAUUCGGUUUUAUGGAUAGCAAGCCUUCUCCAACACCUUAUGAUCCCAGCGUGACACUCAGAAAGAACAAGAAAGAAACGAGAGAUCAAUUAAGAUACUCUCAAAUUGUCGGUUCACUCAUGUACUUAGCUAGCGCUACAAGACCAGAUAUCUCUUUUGCUGUGAGCAAACUGAGUAGGUUCAUGUCCAACCCGGGUGAUGAUCAUUGGCAUGCACUAGAAAGGGUCUUGCGCUAUCUGAGAGGUACUAUGAGUUACGGAAUUACUUAUUCAGGGCAUCCUGCUGUGCUAGAAGGAUAUAGUGAUUCAAAUUGGAUCUCCGAUGUUGAUGUACUUUACGCAACAAGUGGGUAUGUAUUUACUCAUGGUGGUGGUGCAGUGUCAUGGAGGUCUUGCAAGCAAACCAUAUUGACGAGGUCAACUAUGGAAGCAGAAUUAACUGCUUUGGACACAGCUACUGUUGAGGCAGAAUGGCUGCGUGAGCUCUUGAUGGACUUGCCGGUUGUUGAAAAACCUACCGGCUAUUCUUAUGAAUUGUGA
rnacentral:rRNA from 1 species